rnacentral:lncRNA from 1 species
GUGCCACGUUGAAAGUCACUGAGCUCUUCAGUAAGGCCAUUCUACUGACAAUGUUUGUCUAUGGAGAUUGCAUGGCUGUGUGGUCGAUUUUAUACACCAGUCAGCAACGGGUGUGGCUGAAAUAGCAGAAUCCACUCAUUUGAAGGAGUGUCCACAUCCUUUUCUAUAUAUAGUGUAGCUGUGAUACAUUCCAGGGCCUGGGCCAAGAGGGAUGUGGGAAGAGAUACAAGAAGGACUAGAGGUACUACAGGAGGUACUAGAGUUACUACAGGAGGUACUAGAGUUACUACAGGAGGUACUAGAGUUACUACAGGAGGUACUAGAAGGACUACAGAAGGUACUAGAGGUACUAGAGAGACUAGAGGUACUACAGGAGGUACUAUAGGUACUACAGGAGGUACUAGAGAGACUAGAGAGACUAGAGGUACUACAGGAGGUACUACAGAAGGUACUAUAGGUACUACAGGAGGUACUAGAGAGACUACAGGUACUACAGGAGGUCCUAUAGGUACUACAGGAGGUACUAGAGAGACUAGAGGUACUACAGGAGGUACUAUAGGUACUACAGGAGGUACUAGAGAGACUAGAGGUACUACAGGAGUUUCUACAGGACAAACUAGAGAUACUACAGGAGGAACUACAGGAGGUACUAGAAAAGGAACUAGAGGUACUACAGUAGGUACUACAGGAGGAGGUAGAGGUACUACAGGAGGAGGUAGAGGUACUACAGGAGGAAGUAGAGGUACUACAGGAGGUACUACAGGGGGUAGUAGAGGUACUACAGGAGGAACUAGAGGUACUACAGGUACUACAGGAGGAAGUAUAGGGGGUAGUAGAGGUACUACAGGAGGUACUACAGGGGGUAGUAGAGGUACUAGAGGAGGUACUAGAGGAGGAAGUAGAGGUACUACAGGAGGUACUAGAGGAGGAAGUAGAGGUACUAGAGGAGGAAGUAGAGGUACUAGAGGAGGAAGUAGAGGUACUAGAGGAGGAAGUAGAGGUACUACAGGAGGUACUAGAGGAGGUAGUAGAGGUACUACAGGAGGUACUAGAGGAGGAGGUAGAGGUACUACAGGAGGUAGUAGAGGUACUAGAGGAGGUACUACAGGAGGUACUAGAGGAGGAAGUAGAGGUACUAGAGGAGGAGGUAGAGGUACUAGAGGAGGUAGUAGAGGUACUAGAGGAGGAAGUAGAGGUACUAGAGGAGGAAGUAGAGGUACUAGAGGAGGAAGUAGAGGUACUAGAGAGACUAGAGAAGAAAUAAGAGCUGAGACCAUUUUCUUCUAGUUGACCUAUGAUCACCUGGGUUACACCAAGAAAACCAUGACAAACCAUUUACCAUGGUCAAG